GGGGCGGUAGCUCAAUUGGUAGAGCACUAGCUUUGCAAGCUAGGGGUCGAGGGUUCGAGUCCCUUCCGCUCCA
rnacentral:tRNA from 2 species